AUUGAACGCUGGCGGCAUGCUUUACACAUGCAAGUCGAACGGUAACAGGCCGCAAGGUGCUGACGAGUGGCGAACGGGUGAGUAAUGCAUCGGAACGUGCCCAGUCGUGGGGGAUAACGCAGCGAAAGCUGCGCUAAUACCGCAUACGAUCUAUGGAUGAAAGCGGGGGACCGUAAGGCAUCGCGCGAUUGGAGCGGACGAUGUCAGAUUAGGUAGUUGGUGGGGUAAAGGCUCACCCAGCCAACGAUCUGUAGCUGGUCUGAGAGGACAACCAGCCACACUGGGACUGAGACACGGCCCAGACUCCUACGGGAGGCAGCAGUGGGGAAUUUUGGACAAUGGGCGCAAGCCUGAUCCAGCAAUGCCGCGUGCAGGAAGAAGGCCUUCGGGUUGUAAACUGCUUUUGUACGGAACGAAACGGUCCUGGUUAAUACCUGGGGCUAAUGACGGUACCGUAAGAAUAAGCACCGGCUAACUACGUGCCAGCCGCCGCCGUAA
rnacentral:rRNA from 1 species